rnacentral:rRNA from 1 species
CAGCCGCCGCGGUAAAACCAGCACCUCAAGUGGUCAGGAUGAUUAUUGGGCCUAAAGCAUCCGUAGCCGGAUCCAUAAGUUCUCGGUUAAAUCUAUGCGCUCAACGUAUAGGCUGCCGGGAAUACUGUGGAUCUAGGGAGUGGGAGAGGUAGACGGUACUCGGUAGGAAGAGGUAAAAUUCACUAAUCUAUCGAUGACCACCUGUGGCGAAGGCGGUCUACCAGAACACGUCCGACGGUGAGGGAUGAAAGCUGGGGGAGCAAACCGGAUUAGAUACCCGGGUAGUCCCAGCCGUAAACUAUGCAAACUCAAUGAUGCAUCGGGUUGAACUCGGUGCAGUGUUGCAGGGAAGCCGUUAAGUUUGCCGCCUGGGAAGUACGUACGCAAGUAUGAAACUUAAAGGAAUUGGCGGGGGAGCAC